rnacentral:rRNA from 1 species
UACAGAGGUCCCAAGCGUUGUUCGGAUUCACUGGGCGUAAAGGGUGCGUAGGUGGUGAGGUAAGUCGGAUGUGAAAGCUCGGAGCUCAACUCCGAAAUGGCAUUGGAAACUACCUUGCUCGAGGGAUGGAGGGGGGACUGGAAUUCUCGGUGUAGCAGUGAAAUGCGUAGAUAUCGAGAGGAACACCAGUGGCGAAGGCGGGCUACCCUGGACAAUUGCUGACGCUCAGGCACGAAAGCGUGGGGAGCAAACAGG